rnacentral:rRNA from 1 species
AGGAUGAACGCUGGCGGUCUGCUUAACACAUGCAAGUCGAACGGGCGUAGCAAUACGUUAGUGGCGGACGGGUGAGUAACGCGUGAGAAUCUACCUUCAGGACGGAGACAACAGUUGGAAACGACUGCUAACCCCCGAUGUACUGAAAAGGCAAAUAUUUAUAGCCUGAAGAAGAGCUCGCGUCCGAUUAGCUAGUUGGAGAGGUAAAAGCUCACCAAGGCGACGAUCGGUAGCUGGUCUGAGAGGACGAUCAGCCACACUGGGACUGAGACACGGCCCAGACUCCUACGGGAGGCAGCAGUGGGAAUUUCCGCAAUGGGCGAAAGCCUGACGGAGCAAGACCGCGUGGGGGAAGAAGGCUCUUGGGUUGUAAACCCCUUUUCUCGUGGGAAGAAGUUGUGAAAGCAGCCUGACGGUACCAGAGGAAUCAGCAUCGGCUAACUCCGUGCCAGCAGCCGC